rnacentral:rRNA from 1 species
CCGUGAAUACGUUCCCGGGCCUUGUACACACCGCCCGUCACGAUCACGAAAGUGGAUUGUACUAGAAGUUCCCCUUAAAGGACCCAAGGUAUGAUUCAUGAUUGGGGUG